UACGGGGGAUGCAAGCGUUAUCCGGAUUUAUUGGGUUUAAAGGGUGCGUAGGCUGUGAGGUAAGUCAGCGGUGAAAUGCCCCCGCUCAACGGGGUGAAGUGCCAUUGAUACUGCCUUGCUGGAAUGCGGAUGCCGUGGGAGGAAUGCGCGGUGUAGCGGUGAAAUGCUUAGAUAUCGCGCAGAACCCCGAUUGCGAAGGCAGCGUACCGGCUCCACACUGACGCUGAGGCACGAAGGCCAGGGGAGCGAAAGGG
rnacentral:rRNA from 1 species